AGGAAGUGGUUCCUUUUCCCCUUCGCUCUUCUUCCUGCUCUCUGCUCUGAGUCAUCAUGUGAUCCCGGGGAUGAGGAUGCCAGCAGAAGGUGUCCAAUAAGAUAAGUCUUAUAAAAUAUAUAGAUUCAUGAUAAUUAAGACUGAGCUAGCAGAUGAGAAAUCCUAGUCAUUGGCCAAGCAGCAUUUGUACCUAAUAUAAGUCUCUGUGUAUUAUUUGGGGCCCUAAUGCAGUGAGCGUAGCUCAAGUGGGUGGCAGAAAGAUUUAUCAUAACAGGGAAAGGCAAGUAAUUGGGGAGCAUCACCUGGGGGUUUGUGAGACAGGGCAGGAAUCUGGUUCUGAGGGGUAUGCUCUCAAAUUAGUGAUACCAUUGACAAUGGAGCUUAGCCCUACUGGGGACUCCAGGAGCCUCAGGAGAAUGCCACCUCACCCAGGGUCACAUAGCCCAAGCGCUAGGAACUUGGGGAACAAAGGUUCCUUCUUAUCCAUGGUUUUAUUUCCAUGGUCUCCAUUACACCAACCACAGUCCAUAAACAGUACAGGGAAAAUUCCAGAAAUGAGCCUUUCUUUCUUUCUUUCUUUCUUUCUUUCUUUCUUUCUUUCUUUCUUCUUUUUUUUCCAAGACAGGAUUUCUCUGUGUAGCCAUGGCUGUCCUGAAACUCCAUCUGUAGACCAGGCUGGCCUUAAACUCACAGAGAUCUCCGUAUCUCUGCUUCCAAAGUGCUGGGAUUAAAGGCAUGUGCCACCACUGUCUGGCUGAAAUGAGCAAUUCUUAAGGUUUAAAUAACAUUAAAGUUUGUUGUUACAAUUGUUCUGUUUUAUCAUUAUUGUUACAAAUAUCAUACUGUGCUUGAUUUACAAAUUAAGCUUUAGCAUGGGUGUGUUUAUACAGGAAAAAAACAGUGUAUAGCAGAGUCAGAAUUCGGAAAUUCCAGCACUCCCCUUGGUUAUCUGGAAAGGCCCCUCCCUCAGAGGUGUAGCAACUGCAUUUAUCCACACACUCUGACUGGUCAGUCAAUGGAAGCUGUGUCCAGAGGUGUUGGUUCCCCACAUCAUCCAGCCUUCCACACUUAGGGUCAGGUGAGAGGAAGCCCUCCGAUAAAAGUGGAUCUAGGUUUGGGCAAUUGGAAUUCAGUCUUGCCCAUUGUGAUAGUAGGAAGUGGUGGCAACCAGGGCAUUGUCAGCCUCUGCUUCUGCAGCAAAUGCUAAGGGCUUCAAGUUCUGUCUCUCAUAGCGCUAGGAACGAAACCAGGGCUGCACAUGCUCAGGAAGCAUCCACCCCGGAAGCACAUCAUUAGCCCCAGUCCACUUCACUUUAAAAUUUAAGUCUAUGAAUGGAUGAGCACAUGGAUGAAAGGGUGAAAAGACAGACAAACAGACACACAGACAAGACAAACAGACAGUUGUGCAGUAGGUGUUCACAGAGAUGGCUGGGUGAGCGUUGAGUAAACGGAUGCAUGGAUAGUGUAAUGCAUAGGUAGAUAGGUGGGGCCUGGGUAAAUGGGUGUCUAGACAGAUGGAGAGACGGACUGGAUCUUGCUGUACAGGCAAGUGUGUUGGUUGUUUAGGAACUGCGCCUGUGACUUUGUGGCUGGACAGUGAGAUGAGUAGAUAGAGUACACGUAGAGGGGAACGACGACAAGUGGACGGAUGACCUGGUUUAGAAAAGGAAAAGGGCUGGCUGUGGCUUAGCAGGCAGAACCUUGGCCUUCAUUUGAAGUGAACUCAGCUACCAUUACCCCAUCCCAUCUUGUCUCCCACUGAUCUGGGAGGACCCCUUCUCAGUCCACAAGCAUCCCAGUUCUGCUCUCACCUGGAUGGCCCCACAUCAAGACCCGUAUGGGGACCCCGGGUGACUGUAGAGAGAGUGUGACUUGGGGAAGCCUGCAUGAUGGAACGGAAGGAGAUUGCAAUACUUGGCCUUGUACCUAGAAUGAUGGUGUCUUGCCUGGGGCUGUCUGGGCAUCUGUCCAAGUGACAACAUCAUAGGGCUGGCUCUGGCUACCCUGCCCUAUGGGUGGAUGUCAGACAUAUCCAGGCUUGUCCUGCCACCCAAGCCCUGCAGUGGCUAAAGGACAAGACAACUUUCACAGUGGGAGCAGGGAAAGGAGGCUGACAUCAGGCAGGGAACCCACCAUCUCGGCAGAGCCCAGGAGAGUCCAGGGACACCGGGCUCCAGCCCAAAGCACAGCUGAUGGGCCCAGCUCUGCCAGGUUUCAUUGCCUGGGGCACAUUUUUAUGACUAAGGAAUAAUGAGAGGCAGGCGUCUAAUUCCCGGAUUUUCCUAGUGCAGCUGUGUGUGUGUGUGUGUGUGUGUGUGUGUGUGUGUGUGUGUGUGUAUGCUUAUGUGUGUGUAUACAUAGAUGUCACAUGUAGGUCUUAUGUGCUUGCUAUGUGUGUAUUCCAGAGUUUGUAUAUGUAUGCUAGGGACACUUUAGUACACAUGCUAUGUAUGUAAGCAUGUUUAAGCAGGGGCAGGUAUGAGCAUAUUUGUGUGCACGUGCUUGCAUAAGUAUGAACAUGUUUGCAUUUGCAUAAGCAUGUAUGUAUGUAAAAGUUGUCCAGUCUGUAUAUUUGGGCAUAUUGUUGCUGCUUGCCUGAAUGGAAUCCCCCCUGUCCUGUGUGUGUGGGGUGUGUGUGUGUGUGUGUGUGUGUGUGUGUGUGUGUGUGUGUGUGUAUGUGUGUGUGUUAGGCAGAUAAAAGAGGUCGUCAAGGAACAGGAUUCAUGGAAUAAAGAGUCCCAUUCUCUAGCUCCAUCCUCACCCCUUAUUCUACCCCAAGCUCCACCUCCUCACUUCCCCCACCCUCUCCAUUACUCUAUGGCUACAAACCAACUUCAAGAGUGAAACAAUGUUUCUCACUCAUUCCAGGCUACCCCCGGCCUCCAUGGUUUGUAUGUAUUGCCAGGAAUGUCAUAUUUGCCCUUUCUUUGUGAGGGGAAGACUUGUGUCUAAUUCUUUUUUAAAAUCCCUGAGCAUGGAACUGAAUCUGGUUAUGUCGUAGGAUGGAUGGAGGGAUGGACAGAUGUAUGUGUAGAUGAAUGAAUAAACAGAUGGGUGGAUGAAUAGAUGCAUGGAGAGAUGGAUGGACCAAGGACUUGAUAGAGGUGUAGAUGGACAGGCGCACAGCUGGGUACUUGUGUGAGAGCAUGACUAAACCCCACCGUUCUGCUUGAGACACUGGGAGCUGAGGCAAGUGCACCAAGCCUCUUCCCCACCUCACCUUCACUCUGGUGUGGAAAGAAAACCUCUUCUGGCUGCAAGGGCAACUCUGCAUUCUUCCCUCUGGUCACCCCUGCUCUUAGGACUGCUGGCUCCAGGUUGGCCACCUACCUCACCAAGGAGCAGAUCAGGGCUAAAGAGGCAUUGCUAAGUGGCUUAAGUUAGCUCCUGUUUGUGUUCCGGGCUUUCAAAGGCUGGGGAGACUGCUGAGGAGGGGCCUGACUUCAGGCCCACUGCUAAGUGGGCAGGGAUUGUAAACCCUGCAGACCUUGACUGCAGGCAGCUCAAAGCAAGGCCCUAGGAGUUUUGAGACAGGAAAAUAGUGUUUUGUCUUGUGAAUGAAUUCACUUGGCUUUGCCCUGGAGAGCAGGCAGGUGUCCCCAGACGGCUGCUUUGAGCUGGUCCAGGCAAGGGGGCGGGGCGCACUCAAGCCCUGGAUUACAGAGGCCAUGCAGAAGAAGGAGGCCUUUGAUGGGGCCCGGCCUGUUGUCCAGAGCUUGCUUUGCUGGUGGCUGGAGCCCCCUAAUGAGGGGGAAAGGGCUCCACUCUGAAGCAUUCCCUGAGCCUCCCCUGGGCAGCAGGCGGAGACCUCCUUUGAUGUUGGAGUCCUUAAGCCAAGUGGGGACUAAUUGCCACAAGGUACAGAAUGUUCUGGUUUCUUGGGGGGUCUACAGCUUGCUCACAAUGGCACACCGGCCCUGGGGUAGAGGGGAAAAGGCAGCCACCAGCCUCUCUCCUGAUGGAGGCAACUCAAGGACAUUUUGUUGCUUUUUUUCUCUUCGUGCAUUCAGAUCCACACACAAAAUAGGAAGCAUGCCGGAGUCCACGGCAGGUUUGUCAAAGGGUUCUGUUGGAAAGUAUUCACUUUGAAAAUCAGAACCGGUGUAGUGGGAAGGACAAUAGUCAUACAAGAGAUAGAUGACAAUAGCAGCCUGGUGCCAAUUGAUCCAGACUCCAGGCCCUGAUUUACCACUUGUAGUUGUUGAGUAUCUCUGGACCAUCCUCCACAAAUGGCAGAUAAUCAGGCUUGACACACAGUAGGACAUCUGUCCUUUGUAUCCCUUCAGCUGCUGAGACUUGAGCCAGAAACCAAACACAUGGGCAUAUUGUUAUGGUUGGUGCAGAACGCAGGUGCCGAACCUGGUUGAUCACGUGAUCAUGACCGAGGAAGAGGAGGGUUCCUCUGGCUUUUCAUGCAUGCCUCUGAGCUUCCAUCUAAAGGAAGAUGCCCUCACAGUCCUUGAAUUAAGCUUACCCCAUCCACUCCCACCUCUACCUCCCCAUGGAAUCUGGAGCCAGACAGAGCAAUUACUAUGAAAAGAACCGUUGUAGUCAGCAAUUGUAUUUUUACUCUACCAUGCACAGCACUUGGUUAUUGGCCUGCAUUCUUGCUAGUCUUCACAGGGAAGUGCUCAAAGGCUAGUAGGUCAUUUCACAGGCUGGGAAACCAAGACUCCAAGACAAACAACUUGAUCAAGAUCAUCCUAUGUAGGAAAGGAAGCACUUUCCAAUAGGCCUGCCCCAAUGUCCACAUCCUCCCCAGCUCUUUUCAGCUGAGCUGAGCAAGCUCCUUUGGGCUCCCUUUCUCAUCUGGCCAGCAGGAAUAACAUCAAUGGUUUCCCUCCAUCUCCCAGCUGCCGCGCUGAUUUCCCCUCUGGAAUCACUAAGAGAACCUUAGAGACAUAGAAGGGACCUCUCCCCCUCCCUCCCACAGGUACCAACACUGCCUCCACUCUGUCGACUCUGCAGGGGUGUCUUGGGGAGAGGAGACCGUGUCUAACUAAAAUUAUUCUUUGGACUGUGUUGCCCUGUGUAUCUCCAUCCUGGCUUUCUGGCCUGUGGAAGCUUUGAGGAGUGGAGAGAAGAGCUGUCUCUCCUCUGAAAGCAGCUAGCGAGGGAAGUAAUUUGGUAUGUGGUGAAUCCAGUAGGUGCAUGGCAAGGGAGUCCACCUUUGCCUCUGUCAAAGUCAGCAACCAGUAUGGGAGGGGGCCUCUGGGAUGUGGAGAAAGUGCCAUCUGUGUUUCCUGGCUUCUAUGGGAUGUGUUUGACUUUACAAUUAAGACACAGGCAUCCUCAGGCAUGCACAGGAUAGCUCUGAGGAGCCAAGUGAUGCAGAGCAGAAGCCUGAAUCCAGCAGACAGGACCUAGGUCCUAGGAAAGAGUAUGGGGCUGGAAAUGGACUUCAGACAUUGUCUGUGGGUGUUGCCAGAUAGGUGUUGCCCCAAAGGUCCCUCAUAAGAGGAGAUGAUUCCCACAAAGAGUGCUGAGAGGCAAUGCCACAGCUGUCCCUGAGCUGCUGGAGCUCUGCCUGGCCUUUCCUAGAAUACCUGGACAGAGGAAGGUCUAAGAGGCUCUGCAGUUUCUGUGUCCCCAAAUGUCACCUCUACAUGUUUUCUUUUUGAAAAAAUUAACACGGAAGCAACUUCACUGUUUUACAGCAAUAUUUGUCAUCUCCCUUCUGAAAUGUAUGUAUGUAUGUAUGUAUGUAUGUAUGUAUGUAUGUAUGUAUGCAUGUAUGUAUGUAUUCAGACUGAGAGAUGGCUCAACAGUUCAGAGUGCUCUGCUUUUGCAGAGGUUGCAAUUUCCAGAACCCAUAUCUAGUGUCUCACAACUGCCUGUAACUUCAGCUCCAAGGAACUCUGACUCCCUCUUCUGGCCACCUGGAGGCAUUGCAUUCAUGCACACAAACCCACUCACAGAUACACAUACAAACAUACAAAUAAAAAAGAAACAAAUAGAGAUAAGCUAAAAGGAGGAAAUAAAAAUGGCCAGAGAUAGCUAUAUACACAGCUGGCCUCUACAUCUGUGGGUUCCUCAUUGGCAGAUUCAGCCAAGCCUGUGUGCAUCUCUGUACUGAGCAUGCCCAGAUGUUUUCUUCUGAUCCUCUUAACCAAUGCAGUGUGGCUAUUCACACAGCAGUUUCGGUGUCCCGGGCAUGAGAAGUCACCCAGAGAUGAUGAAAGUUGACAGGAGGCUGUGCAUGGGUCAGAUGCCAACAUUGCUCCAUUGUACAUGAGAGACUUAGGCUCCUGUGGGUGCUGGUAUCUGAGGGAAUCCAGGGGCUAAUUGGCCAUCUGUGAUUGUACACAUGUAGUAUGGUGACCUGGUCUCUCCUACUUAAUAUUUCCGACAUAUGUCUGACUGGUGAUCUUAAACAAUUUCAUAGCAUCCCAGGAAUGGUCAUAGUUUGACGAUCUCCAAUUGUCGAUUGUUUGGGCUGGUUUGAGAGCUCUGCGGUGAGUUCGCUUUCUGGACUGGUCCUGCCCCCUCCUGACUGGGUGGUGAGGGCAUCUGCUCUGCCUGGGAGCACUGGUGUUUUUGAAGUCUCUGAUGGCACAGCUGUUCCCUGGGAAGACCUGUAACAUCCUACCACCCCUUGGAGUGUCCUGAAAGCUACUUCUUGUUCCUGUCACCAACACCAGGUUUGAGAAGUCACAUCUUAACUUUUGGUGAUCUGGUAGGGGAAAAUAAUACCUCUUUUUCAUGUGACGCUUUGGCAACUACCUCGAUUUCUUUAUUCAAUAAGAAUAGGGCGGGUGCCUUCCCUGUGUCUGGCUUCCCCUACUUCGGAGAGGGAUAUGGUGACAAAAGCAUACAAUCAAACAUCAAACAGAUGGCCUCCUGUUACACUGCAGCCUGUGUCAGGAGGAAUGGUGGCCCCAUGAGCUGGGCCAGUGGGAGCUUUGACCCGAGCACACUCUGAUCAGAUUGACUUUCCUGGCUAUAGGCAAUCAACCAUCUCAAUUUCAGAGAAAGUGUAGUGUAUUAGUCAGCUUUCUGUUACUGUAGGAAAACUCCUGAGACAAAUCAACUGAAAAAGAGGAAAUGUUUCUUAGGACUCGCAUUCUGUUGGCCCCAUUGCUUGGGGGGCAUGCAGUAAAGCAGAAUACCAUGGUGAGGGAGACAUGGCAGAGGGAGCUGGUUCACCUUGUGGUCAGGAAUGAAAAAGAAAAGAACAGACUAGGAACCCUCUUUAAGCCAGGCUUCCACUACCUGAAACCUCUCAGUAGGCCCUGCCUCUUGAAGGCUCUACCAUCUGCUAACAGCACCAACCUGGGGUCACAUGGACCUCGGAGGACACUUGAGUUCCAGAUGACAGCGUGUUCCAUAAACACAGCCCCAUGCUUCCCUAACUUCCAACCCUUCCAGCCAGACAUGUCCCACAAGGGCUGCUCAGCUUGCAGACACUGACUUAGGGCUCACACCAGCGUGCCCCACAAGGGCUGCUUCUUUGGUGAAGCAUCUUGGUGUUCACUUAGGCCUACUGCUAUGCCACAUUCUCCAGAGGAUGGCUCUGAGUUCUCCCUGCACAAAUGUCUCUCCUUCUCUACAUUUAAAAUGUCUUUAUAAGACCUGAUUACCAUACUAAUAUCAUCAAUCAUGGACUGGCUUGUCCCCUCCAAAGUACGUAGACAGGGUCAACUCUCUGCACUCCCCAGAGCAGCUGGCCUGGGGGAAGCCCUCACAGGCCAAUAGUGGCUCUGUCCUAUCCCCUUGCUUCAGCAUAGUUUUCUGCCAGGAGAAGUUUCUUAUGGUAUCAGAGGCUCCUAGACUGCUCCCCCAGUUCUUGCGUGAAUUCACAAAUAAGGCAACUAUGGUGCAGACAGAGUUAGGGUUUUGUCAAGUUUGCAUCUGUAGGAAGAGGUUGGAUGUGACUCAGUCUCUCUUGGGCAGCACAACAGCCAUUGCUCCUAUAUCAUGGUCAGAUUCAAAGUCUAUAUUUCUCUGGAUCAGCAUGCAUGGGAGUCCUGGGUCCUUGGUAGUGGUCUAAGAAAGGGUCUUGGCAGUGAAUAGUACCCCCAGUUGUAAACUGAGUCAGAAGCCUAACAGCUGUCUGUCCACCCAGAUAGGCAUGUGAGCAGUACUGGCAUAUGGCUCCAGUUGCGAUGGGUGAUGGGCUAGGCAUACUUUCCCUGCUGACUGAUGUCAUGAGCUCAUUAGAGCAAUGGGGUUUAUAGCACGAGGCAACUGUCCAAGCAAUAAAUUAAGCUGCACAAUUUAGCACUUAAUUAUCCUCUCUCUCAUCUACUUCACUCUCAUUCCCUGGGUGUCCAUCUGGACCUUCUGCUGGAUGGGAAGAUCUUCCUGGGCCUCAUAUCCCACAGUCAAUGCAUCACGCAGUCCCAUUGGUACCAUCUUGGAAACAUCCCCCAAAUACUUCCCCUUCUUCAUAUCCCAUGGCCUUGACCCCAGCCAGUCCGAAUCCUUCCACUUCCCUGGCUUCUUGGUCCCUCUGGUGUUAAUUCCCCUCUUCAAUCUGCCAUAACAUCAGGCAUUUGGUUUGCUUUGACCUGAAAUCCAAAGUCCCUAGCGUGUUGACAUUCAAAGCGGGCUGUGACCUUUGGAGGCAGCCUUCCUCCUACCUCAUCUCACCAUCUUGUUCCUCCCAAACUUGCACUGGGUACCAUCUCACACGAAAGAGGCCAGACCUCCAUACGAAGCACGCAGCUGGACUUCAGGCUACCAAACCUUUGCACUUCAGCUCCCUCCUUACCUCCCACAAUCCACUCAACUUUGUCACUCUACCCAUCUCAAUGGUGCUCAGCUUUGGGGACUUUCCAGUUGAACCCACAGUAAGAUUUCUCCUUUUUAAUAAUCCCUUCCCCACCAUCUCAUGGGCACCUCACCACAGGACUGCUGGGAAAACAAUGCCACCUGUCUGUGGAAGGCUACCUAUCUGAUGAAGCACUGUCCUGCUGAGCUCCUUCAGAGUCCUCACACCUGAAUAUUCACUCAAGCCCCAGGGGCCCUUUUACAGACCACGCUACAGAAAGAGAAACUGAGGCUUGGAUACCAGAGCCUGGUCUUUACUGGUCAAAGUCUACAUGAACAAGGAUAGUAACUUGGGGUCAGGGAACACAGGCAAGAUGACCCUGUGGGUACCAGAGAGGAGGAGGGUCUUGGGGACAGACACGGGUCCGCUGGAUCAGGGAUGUUGUUAUUUGAACCAGAGGAAGCUUGACUGUCAAAGGGCAGCACCUCACCCAGAAUUCUCUUCUUCACCCCUAUUUUACUGGAGGGUAGGUGAAGGUUCAAGGAAAGGGAGUGUGCAAGAGAGGUAGAGGUUACAGAGGAAGGAGCUGUGGGUACAGCUAGCGGUCACCCUCUCUUUGUUCCCUCUUCCCCUUUCUUACUGUUUGAAUCAACAUUUCCCAAGUUUCUCCUGUCUGCAGGAUAUGUAGGCUAGUUGUCAUCAGUACAGAGAUAGCUGUUGAGUUUGGUUGAGUUUGCUGGUGGUUGGGCCUGGUAUAUGGUGGACAGUUAAUAAGCAGCGUCCGAGUGGCUAAAUUAAUGAGUAAGUAAAGGCCACCGGGACUAUAAUGCAGCCCAAUUGUAACACUGUGAGCUCUAGGAUUGCCACAUUUCCUGGGGACCUAAAGGAGUAGAUGAAUGUGACCCAAGCCUUGUAGGAGGCAUCUUGGUUGUAAGCAUCACUGCACCCAUUUUACAGAAAGGGGUACUGAGGCUUACAGAGACUGUGGGACUGACUUGAGCUCUGUGAUUAGAAAGCAGUGCUCAGCCAUACUGGGAAAUGGAAAAUUCUGCAUUGUUGUGCAUGGUGUGUGUGUGUGUGUGUGUGUGUGUGUGUGUGUGUGUGUGUGUGUGUGUACAAAGAAUGCUUUCCUUUUGAUGUCUAAACAAGAGAAGGCUCCUUGAGAAGGCCAUUGAGCUCUGUCAGCUUCUGUUUCUGUAUUUAUCAACAUUCCAUGAUGUAUGGAUCAAGAAUACAUCCUCCAAUGGGACACUAGGGAGAUGCAGGGAAGGGCCAGGAGCACUUUGCAAGCCUGAAGCACCAAGCUGCCCAGUAGGCUGGAGAGCUGGUUCCAGGCACUAGGCUGGGUGAUAUCAGCCUGGGCCCUUCCCAGCAUCUGGCCUGGGUGGAGCAUCUGGUCCCCAGUUAUAUCCAAGUCACUGGGAAUGUCCCUUGUUUCCAUAAGGGGGAGCCUGUGUGCUGGAGAUCCCAGCUCAGCUAGAGCAAUUCCAGGGACCAACUCUGGUCAGGAGUGGCCAUUUUGGUGGCACCAGCAGGUGUCUGUCCUGAGGGAGAACCACAGAGUUUUGGUGAACUGCUUUCUCCCGUUUAUCUGUGUAGAGAACCAAGGAAGAUGGAUGAGCACAAGGUUGCGUGUGGAAAGAACACAGCUUUGGAGAUGACACAUUUGGGGCUCAAACUGGCUCCAUCUGGAACACCAUGUGGCCUUGGACUGUUUCUACCUGCUGGACCUCAGUUUCCCUGUCUGUAAAAUGGGGAGGCCAACCACCUUUAGAAGUAGUUACAAACAACUAUGACAGUGCCUAGAGCAUAAUGAAUAUGAAGCCAGGGAACAAAUUGACUGUGGUCAGGACGGUCAGGAAAGUCUUAGAGGCCACCCUGGCCUUUGCACAAUGCCCGAUGAUCCACCUGCAGCAGGCCCUUCAGACAGAGAGACGCCCACAUGAAGGUAUUCUGAGCUUGUGGCUGCAAAUACAGAGCCACUAAGCAGUGUUUCUCGAGUGCUGACAAAGCAGGGAGAGAGAGAAAGUAUGUGUGUUUGCAGGGGAGUGAGUGCAUCUUGGUUUAACUGCCUGUUCUCACUGAUGCAGCCCCUUGGCUGACACACAUUUAGCACAAUGUAACACACCAGGUGCUUCAUUCUCCACAUGCUACAGGCUUUGCUAAGAGUCAUUUUACCUUCUUUUAUUGGGAUCCUGCCAAAAAGCAAACCAAGUAUGCCACGGUCCCUCCCCCUGGGAGGAGAGCAGCAGUAUGGCUCCCUCUGCCCAGGCCUGGUGCUUCCAUCAGGGCAGGAUGCACAGUGACUGUCUACAGCCCUUCCACGGCCUCCUCCACACUCAUGGGUAUUUUGUGUUGAGACAGGGCCUUGCUACGUAGCCCCAACUUACCUGGAACUUGGUAUGUCAGUGAUUCUCAACCUUCCUAAUACUGUGACCCUUUAAUGCAUUUCCUCAUGUGUGGUGACCCCCAACCAUAAACUUAUUUUUGUUGCUACUUCAUAGCUGUGAUUUUGCUACUGUCACGAAUCAUAAUGUAAACAUCCGUGUUUUUCAAUGGUCUUAGGUACCCCAGUGAAAGGGUUGUUUGACCCCCUCCCCAGGGGUCAAGAUCCACAGAUUGAGAAACACUGCCAUGUAAACUACACUGGACUUGAACUUGUAUUUAUCAGUACUCUGUCUCUGAGAUUACAGAUGAGCACCAGAGAGGAGAACCAACAGAUGAGCACCAGAGACCAGCACCAUCAGAGAGAGUUAAGGUUUUUCCUAAAUAAAAAUAGCAUCUUCUCCCUGGUUCUGAAAACAAUGCAAGUACAUCAUCACAAGUCACCCAGCCAGGGCCACUGUUGCUGCUCUUCUGUGUCUGUCGGGUGCCCACACGACCCAGCUGCAGGUGCACCCUGCCUUGCUGCCCACUGCUAUGAUCUCCUCUAUCCAGGGGCUUGCCUUGGUCGUUCUAACUGUCUCCCUCUUUAUGAGAGCACAGAUCAGCUCAUUUAACCAAGCUCCUAUUGUUAUACACUUAUAUUACCUCUGUCUUCUUUUUUAUUCUUUUAAAAAAGAUUUUAUUUAUUUAUUAUGUAUAUAACAUUCUGCUUCCAUGUAUAUCUGCACACCAGCAGAGGGCACCAGAUCUCAUAACAGAUGGUUGUGAGCCCCAUGUGGUUGCUGGGAAUUGAACUCAGGACCUCUGGAAGAGCAGCCAGUGCUCUUAACCGCUGAGCCUUCUCUCCAGCCCCUUCUUUUUUAUUCUUUACCAUCUUGUUUAAAAACAAUUACAGAAUGCUAUCUUGGGGCUGCUGAGCUGGCUCAGGGGUGCCACUGUUCUUGCAGGGAACCUGUGUUGGGUUCUUAGCAGCCAUGUUGGUCAAGUUACAACUACCAAUGACUCCAGGGGACUUGAUGUCCUCUUUGCACUCAUGUGCACAAACCUACAUACAUAUAUAUGCAUAUACAUAAUAAAAUAAUAAAUCUUUAAGAAUAAGUCUCACACAAUACACAUAUAUGCAUGAUCUUGAAGCUGACCCAUCCAUUCUUCCUUUUGAUUGCCGAAUAGCCAUCUGUGGCAUAACUGCACCACACAUAACAAACCUUCCUCUAUCUUAGGACAUUUUCAUAAUUUAAAGUAUUAUUAUUAUUACUAUUACAAAAAGCUGCUACAAGAACUGGAUACUGUCAUGUAGAAGACUGCAGGUAGAUCUGUGUCUAUUGCCAUGCACAAAACUUAAGUCCAAAUGGAUCAAAGACCUCAACAUAAAUCCAGCCACACUGAACCUCUUAGAAGAGAAAGUGGGAGGUACCCUUGAACGAAUUGGUACAGGAGAUUGCUACACCAGUAUCACAGACACUGAGAUUGACAAUUAAUAAAUGGGACUUCCUGAAACUGAGAAGCUUCUGUAAAGCAAAGGACACAGUCAACAAGACAAAAUGGCAGCCCACAGAAUGGGAAUAGAUAUUCACCAACCCCACAUCUGACAGAGGGCUGAUCUCCAAAAUUUACAAAGAACUCAAGAAGCUAAUCUCCAAAAUACCAAAUAAUCCAAUUAAAAAGUGGGGUACAGAAAUAAAUAGAGAAUUCUCAAUAGAGGAGUCUAAAAUGGCUGAUAGACACUUAAGAAAGUGCUCAACAUCCUUAGCCAUAAGGGAAAUGCAACUCAAAACAACUCUGAGACCAUCUUACUCCUGUCAGAAUGGCUAAAAUCAAAAACACCAAUGACAGUUUAUACUGGAGAGGAUGGGGAGAAAGGGGAACACUGCUGGUGGGAGUGCCAACUUGUACAGUCACUUUGGAAAUCAGUAUGGUGAUUCUCAGGAAAAUGGGAAUCAGUCUACCACAAGAUCCAGCAAUUCCACUCUUAGUCAUAUACCUAAAAGAUGCACAUUCAUAAAACAAGGACAUCUUUUCCACUCUGUCCAUUGCAGCAUUAUUUGUAAUAGCCAGAACCUGGAAGCAACCUAGAUGCCCCUCAACUGAAGAAUGGAUAGAGAAAAUGUGGUACAUUUACACAAUGGAGUACUACUCAGUAGAAAAAAAACAAUGGAAUCUUGAAAUUUGCAGGCAAGUGGAUGGAACUAGAAGAACCAUCCUGAGUGAGGUAACCCAGUCACAAAAAGACAAAAAUGGUAUGUACUCACUCAUAUAUGGAUUUUAGACAUAAAGCAAAGGAUUACCAGCCUACAAUCCACACUGCCAGAGAAGCUAGGAAACAAGGAAAACUCUAAGAGAGACAUACAUGGUACCCUGGAGAAGGGGAAAGGGACAAGAUCUCCUGAGCAAAAUGGGAGCAUGUGGGGAGGGGAGAAGGAGUUAGGAGAAAGAGAGGGGGAGAGAGAAGGGGAGAGGAGGACAUGAGGAAGCUAGUAGGUUGAGUCAGGGGAAGAAUAGAGGAAAGCAAGAUAUGAGAUACCAUAACAGAGGGAGCCAUUAUAGGUUUAAAGAGAAAUCUGGCACUAGGGAAAUGUUCAGAGAUCUACAAGGAUGACACCAACUAACAAUCUAAGCAACAGUGGAGAAGCUACCUUAAAUGCCCCCCAAUAAUGAGAUUGAUGACUACCUUAUAUGCCAUCCUAGAGCCUUCAUCCAGCAGCUGAUGGACAUAGAAGCAGACACCCACAGCUAAACACUAAGCUGAACUUCUGGAAUCCAGUUUCAGAGAGGGAGGAGUAAUGAAAAAAGGGGUCAAGACCAGGCUGGUGAAACCCACAGAAACAGCUGACCUGAACAAGGGGGAGCACAGGGACCCCAGACUCAUAGCUGAGAAACCAGCAUAGGACUGAUCCAGACCCACUGAACAUGGGUUUCAGUGAGGAGGCCUCGGCAAUCUAUGGGGCCUCUGGUAGUAGAUCAGUAUUUAUCCCAAACACACAAAUGGACUUUGGGAGCCCAUUUCACAUAGAGGGAUACUCUUUCAGCCUAGACAAAUGGGGAGGGCCCUAGGCCCUACUCCAAAGGAUAUGACAGACUUUGAAGGUCACCCAUGGAAGGCCUCACCCUCCUUGGGGAGCAGAAAGAGGAUGGGAUUGAGAGUUAAUGAGGGGGCAGGGGAGGAGGGGAGGUAGAGGGAACUGGGGUUGACAAUGUAAAACAAGCUUGAUUCUAAUUUAAAUAAGAAUAGGGGGAAAAAGCUGCUACAAAUGAUCCUAUAGUAUUGGCACAAGUUUCUUUCCCAUCUGGUUCCAUAGCCAUAAAUAAACACACAGAGGCUUCUAUUAAUUUUAAACUGUUUGGCCUAUGGCUCAGGCUUCUUAUUGGCUAGCUCUCUCUUAAUUAUUAACCCAAUUUCUAUUAAUCUAUGUAUCUCCACAUAGCCUUGGCUUACCAGUGAUGUCUGGGCCCCUUUCUUCCUCAGCAGCUACAUGGCAUACAAUGGGUUAAUAAUUAAGAGAGAGCUAGCCAAUAAGAAGCCUGAGCCAUAGGCUAAACAGUUUAUAAUUAAUAGAUGCCUCUGUGUAUUUGUUUGGGACUGAACGCCUGUGGGACUGGGUGGGAAAGAAACUUCUGCCAACAGUGGAGAGAUUUCUGUGCAAAAAUACAUUUGUACUUCUCAGAGAUAACUAUGCUGGGUGUUGUAGGCCAUUUAGUAAGUGAGAUCUGCACUCUCUCAUCUUCCCAUCCAGGAUUCCCCAUCUCUACUUUCAUCUAUGUUCUAAUAUCCUCUAAGGUGUCCCCCCACCUACGUUCUACUAUCCUCUGAAAUGUUCCCCACCCUCAGUGGUCUUUGUCUAGUUUCCCAAAUGAUACUCCAAGUUAAACACAUAAAACCUAGAGUUUCUAAGCUAAAAUCCAUAUAUGAGGGAUCUUUCUGGACUUGGGUUACCUUAGUCAGUAUAAAUUUUUCCACUUGCAGCCAUUUAUCUUCAAUAAAUAUUAUAAUUUCAUUUCCCUUUACACUGGAAUAAAACUCCACUCUCUGUGUGUACCAUGUUUUUAUUAUGUAUUCUUCAGUUGAUAGAUGUUGUGUUAGUAGGUUUUUUUUGUUUUGUUUUUUGCUGUGACAAAACACCCUGACUAGGGCAACUUAGAAAAAAGAAAGGGUUUCAUUGGGUUUACAGUUUCAGAGGGCUGGAGUCCAUGGUGGCAGAGCAAAGGCACAGGGACAGGAACAGGCUGAGCAGCAGCUGAAAGCUCACACCUUGAUCUGCAGAUAGGAGACAGAGAGGGAGAAAGGAGACAGAGGGGGAGGGAGAGAGAACAAGAAGGAACAAUGGGAAUGGCACAAGUCUUUUGAGGCCUCAACACCUAUCUCUUCCCACAAGGCCACACCUCCUAAUCCUUCCACCAAAUGAGAACCAAGCAUUCAAAUACAUGAGCCCAUGGGGGCCUUCAGCUGAUCCCUGAAAAAGCUAGAAACAGGCUACCACCUGACCCUGUACCGUUCCUGGGCAUAUUCCCAAUGGGUUCUGAAUCCUGUUGCUGAGAUGCUCGCUCGCUCUUUCAUGUUCAUAAUUCACAAAGACCAUGACCUUUGUCUGGCUCUAGUGCUUCGGGGUGUCUCCUUAGCCUAGCUACUGAGCUGGCCAUAGUCAGUUGUAUCCAGUCCAGCUUCUGUUGCCUACCACACUAUGAUUAGGAAACGGUUCAUUGUUGGUUCAUGGGACAAAAGGAUGACAGCUCAAGAUGCCAAUUUGUGUUUGUUUUGACCAGCUCUUGAGGAACCCACUUGUUCACCCUUCUGAUUUGCUUCUAAUACCAAGAAAUUGUCAAAUGGUCCACAUGGAGUUGGCUGGCAGCUUCUCGUGUAGUUUUGUGAGCGGAUCUGUGAUUGCUCUCAGGCGAUCAUUGUCAACUUCUAAUGGCCUGGCCUGACACGCCUCAUCUUCAAGGUGUUCCUCUCCUUUGCAAACCUUUUCUUUUGAAAGUUUUUAUUUUGUUUUAUGUGUAUGAGUAUUGUGCCUGCUUGUAAGAGCUCCUCCACACUGCUGCACAGGGGGUUAAGUUCUAGCAUAUGGUGACUGGGGGACGUGAUCAUCUGGAGCAGUUAUUUUAUUACUGAUUUUCAACGAUAAGUUGAAAUGUGUUGUAAAAACAUGUGCUGAACUGCAGAAAAAGGGGGGGCAUUUAUAUUGGUUAUACAAUGAGUUUUCUUAGAUAUAUAUUAGGCUAAGCAAAAAUAUAUUUCAAAAAUUAACUUCACCUGUUUCUUUGUACCUUUUAGAAGUGGCUACUAGAAAUUUAAAAUAGCCCACUGUGGCUCGCUUGUGCGGCCUCCAUAGUGUGGAAUAUGAGCAGUGUGGGCCACUUUCUCAGCCAUGGUCAGCCGUGGGCAGUGACCAUGCAGGAGCCAGAGCCAGGAACAUGACACUGAGCCGCCACAUUAAAGGCGCUGGUCUCUGUGGUUCUGCUCUCCAAGGCCAGGGCCCAACCACAGGCCCCACAACAUGAAGAAAAGAACUCGAGGUCAGCGCGGCCUUUGCUGGACUCCAAGCUCCUCAGGAUGUUCGUGCACUUAUCCACAUUUGUUCCCUUGUCCAUGGACUAGCAGGAGGGGGACCUCUAACAGGGAUAUUCCCCUUUUAAUCAGCUUUUCUAGUACCUACUAUGUGCCCUAAGAAAGCUCAGCACACACUCAUCCUCAUCUCUCCCUUAUCUCCAGAGACAGUGAGCUGAGAAUAGCUGGGAGCAGUACAUUGUUCGGAGCACUUUUUAGGAGGCCGCUGCUUCCCAGGGAUGGAUUUCUCCUCUGUGUUAGUUCAGAGCAGUCUUUUCUUUCUCUGUCUUUCAACUUCCCCAUCUAUGGCAUGGGGACGGUGACAUCGCCUGUCCCAUUGGGUUGCUUUGAGGGUCAGAAGAGACAGGGCGAGUCAGGCACAAUUCUGGAUCCUUGGACUCUAGAGGCAAAGCUGCUGUUCCCAAUGGUAUUUAUUGCACUAGUUAUAGUUGUUGUUUUCAAAUCGCAGUGAUUCCAAAGGUGUUCCCAGAAGAAUAACCCAGGGGACAAAAAGGAAAGAUCUAGAAGACUUCUGCAAGUGAUGAAGGAUAUCCUUGACUCUAUAAAGAGUUCAUUAAAAAUUCAUAUCCAAGUGGUGCACAUCCUGGCUGCCUGGGGCUCCUGCCAAGAAGGGCUGUGCCUGGGCUCAGUCAGUCAAAAAUAUGGUGGAGACAGCUCCAACUGCUGCCCACCAGCCCAGCCAUUCCCUGCCCACAUCCCCGGAUACUGACCUCUGCCUGCAUAUGUCUGCCACCUUCUGCAGUAGGCUUCUCCAGUCUAGGGCUGUGACCCUUUAAUAUAUUUCCUCAUGUUGUGGUGACCCCAAGCAUAAAAUUAUUUUGUCUUCACUUCAUAAUUGUAUUUCUGCUACUGUUAUGAAUUAUAAUGUAAAUAUCUUCUAGAGGGAGUUGACAAAGGGGUAGUGGCCCACAGGUUGAGAGCCACUAAUCUAGUAGAAGCCACCAGGCCUGAAUUCAGGGCAAAGAUAACAGCACCGGAAUGAUGGUCUUGGACUAGAAGUGAGCAGGUACCAUGGAGAAACCUUCCAUCCCUAGGCAAUGACCCAAAGGUGUCAGUGUGUGUUCCCUACUGACCAACACCCAGAUUUCUCAGUUUUGGGUUGCAGUCCUGUACAGUCACUAUUAGUUUGAUAAAGCGCCCUUAGUUCAUUGUUAUGAACACAUAAACAAGGAAGAUGAAGUUCAAGCUUUGCUUGGGGAAUCCAACUCAACAUUCCCUUCCAAGAGAAUACAGAUUGGAUGAGGUGGUACCUCUGCCUUCAGAACUCCCCUCUCUUCCCGUCUUCUCUCCCACUCCAUCCCCACACGACUGUACAGUAACCAGGUCAAGAAUAGUGAGCUAGGCAGAGGGAGUUAAAGUUUUCCCGCUUCCUGGAAGUGAGCUAGAGAAGCUCUUGGUCCUUGUGACGGUUAGUGUUGUUAACCUGACAGAUCUAAAAUCACCUGGGGGAUGGGAGUCCUAAGUAUGACUGUGCUAGGCUUGGCUUGGUAGAGCUAAUAGAGGGGGAAAACCCACCUGCUGUGGGCAGGACCCUUCUCUGGGUCCUGGAAUGCGUAACUGGAGAAAGGGAAUUGAGCAGCAGAAAAUAUAAGUUCACCUCCUUCUGCUGAGUGACAGUAGAUGCCAUGUGAACACAUAUUCUCUCUUUUUUUAAACUUUUAUAUAUUUUUAAUUUAACUUCUUUAUUGAUUCUUUGGGAGUUUCACAUCAUGCACUCCAAUUCCACUCACCUCUGGGUCCCCCAUAUCUUCCCCUCACCCCUGUAGCACCCUCCAAAAGAAAAUGAGCAAAGCAAGUAAACAAACAAAAUCAAGAACAAAACAACCGCCCCCAAAGAAAAGAAAGAAAAGAAAAGAAAAAAAAAAAAAAACCUCUUCGAUUCUCCCUCUUUCCCACCUCUCUGACAUCUCUUCAUUGAUUCCUGGUGGCACUGGAGGCCUUGCUGUGUCACACAGCAUAGCCUUUUGUCCUAUCAGCUUUACUAGCAAAUGUUCAUUGCAAGGAGUCACUGGUCUGGUUCAAGGCCUCUAGUUUCUGGUACACCAUCAUCACUGGAUCCUCUGGGAUAUCCCAUGGCCAUACUGAGUCUUGGAAAUCUUGUGGGUAUUGUUUCACAGGACCAGUUUCUUCAGAGCUCCAGCAGGUCCUAGACAGGGUAGAUGCUAGGGUGGGCCAACCCAAGGCCUGACUGUGGGCCUGGGUAGUAGCUAAACUGGUCAGUCCGGCUACUGUGGCCACCUGCCUCAGGUGAGGGGUGGAGUCAUCUCUCAUAUGCUGUCAGGAUCCAUUCAUUUGACUGUGGUGUAGGGUGGAUCCAUCUCUCCAGCUUGCAGGGGCCAGCUCUCUUGCUAUAGUAUCUGAAGGAACCAGCUCCCCAUUUCGGCAGCCAUAACAGCCUAGCACGUGCUUGCCUGACCUUGCCUUGGUCACUAGGAGGUCAGAUGCCUGCCCAUUUUGGCAGCCAUGACAGUCUAACACAUGUUUGCCUGACCUUGCCUUGGUCACUAGGAGGUCAGAUGCCUGCCCAUUUUGGCAGCCAUGACAGUCUAACACAUGUUUGCCUGACCUUGCCUUGGUCACUAGGAGAUCAGAUGCCUGCCUCGUGGCAAGGAACCAAUCAGAAGUUAGCUGGUGGUGCUAUGCUUUACGGCUCUGGGUGUGCUUUUCGGACAAGUGCACAGCAAUGAUGCACAGAGCAUAGCAAUUGCCCUGGGAGGGCCUAUGGGCCAUAACAACCAGUUGACCAAUCAAUACAGAGCAAGCCUGGAGGCACACCAAUCCUGAGCCUGUGCGUACCCCUAGACACUCCCCUUACACUGCCCUAUAAGAUCUCUAUGCUGUGGCUUCGCAGCAUCUUUCCUAGCCAUCCUCCAUGGUGGAUGGAUGAAAGGCCUGAGCUAACAUGGAGUUAGCUCAUUAAAAAACUGCAAUAAAGCCUGGUGCUUUUUGCAUCAAGCUUUCGACUACGCCUGGUGAUUGGGGUCAUUGCAGUCCUGGGCCAGCAUCCUGGGGGCCUGAGCUUCUGGGGGUCUUUCACACACAAGCCCAGACCCCUGGUAUUGGCAUGGCCUUCGAUGGUCUCAGGAGAUACAAACAUCAACACAGCCUUUAUUUGUUUUUGAGACAGAGUCUCACUAUAUAGCUCUGGUUGGUCUGGAGCUCACAGAGAUCCAUCCAGCUCUGCCUCCCAAGUGCUGGGACUAAAGAUCAGUGCCACCAUGUUCUGCUUGUUCUCCCCUUAUUUAAAAAGUUGUUAUCUUUAAAGUAGAGUUUCUCUUUUAGUUGUGUGUCUUGUGUCAUUUCCAGAACCCACUUGACUCCUUCAACUAGUAAGAGCACAUGGAGCAUCAAGAGAGGGGGAUGGAAAAGCUGUGACUGACCCAUCCCAUCCAUGAAAAGCCUGACAGCUCUGAUGAUUCCUGGGGAUGGAACUCAGAGGGAGAAUCCAACAGCUCAAAGGCCACAUCAAAACAAGCCCAGGACGGAGCCUGCACUGGCAAGCAUCCUCCAAAGGAGCCCUGACCUUGUCACUGUCGACCAGAACCAAUUUCUCUCCAGUAUUGGCUGAUAUUUGGAAGAGCUGCUGUCUAUACUGCUGUCUACACUGCUGCUGCUGUCUACACUGCUGCUGCUGUCUACACUGCUGCUGCUGUCUACACUGAUGAUGCUGUCUACACUGAUGAUGCUGUCUAUACUGCUGCUGCUGUCUACACUGAUGAUGCUGUCUACACUGAUGCUGCUGUCUACACUGAUGAUGCUAUCUACACUGCUGCUGCUGUCUACACUGCUGCUGUCUACACUGCUGCCUCGGUCUGCUCUGAUGCACCACCUCUACACCACACCACCUCUACACUCCAUCUACACUGAUGGAUGCCAUCUCUACCAGUGCCUUUUAUUCAUUCCCCUGGUGCCCUGAUAAAGUGCGGGUAAGGGCAUCCUUGGGCCUUCUCUUGGUUCCUGGAACUCCUCCUUAUCUUUGAUACAUCUAAAUUAAUUUGUAAUUGACAGUUAAAGAACUAAACUCUCUGGCUAAUUUUAGAUAAGUCGACGUGUUCCCAAGCUGCUAUUUUUUUUAGCCACUCCUGGCCCUCAGCCAUGACCUAAUGAUUCUGCCAUUAGCAGUGUGGACAGCUCUGCGCCUCAGAAACACAGCGCUAUCCACAGUUCGUGUCAACAGCCUGCUCCUCUUUAAAGUCACAAACCCUCUGAGUUCCAGAAGUGUCUGCUGCUAAAUUUGGAUCCUGUCUUUGGUAAUUGUGCUCCUAUUAGGCUGAUGAGAGAGUUAGCAGAACUGGGCCUUUGGGCUUCUGCCCACAGUGUGAGCCAAACAGGAAAUGAUUCUGUGAACUUGACUUCUGAGAUGUGUAAAAGGCCUGUCCAUCACUUUGCUCAUGGCACAGGCACACUAUCAAAAUAGCAUGUGCUGCCUUUCCCAGGAGAUGAACUCUGGGCCUGGCAGGAACCCAGGAUUCAGCAGGAGUGAAAGUCUUUACUGGAAAAGGGGUGGCUGCUCUUUGAUUCUCCUGGAGUCCUGGCAAUGGCCCUUGUGGUGGCCACAACUUUGCCUGACAGGCUAAAUUCACUCCUGUUUGUGGAGAUGUGGCAUGGAAAGUCAACAGAGUAUGACCUCUGGAGGUAGAUGAGCCCAGGUUCAGGCCUUGUGACCUCUGGAGGCAGGGGAGCCUAGGUUCACACACUAGGGUUACCAUUUAUAACAGGAUGAACUGGGAUGGCCAGCCUCACUAAUGAUGGAUGAUAUCAUGUGUGGAAAGGACUGAGUUCAGAGAGCAUGUACAGGAAGAAGGGGCUGAGGUUCUCUCUCUGGCGCCAAUGAUGCACUUGACAUGAGUUUCUGAGUAUGGUAGUCAAGGUCCUCUAGAGAAACAGAAUGUAUAGAAUGCAUAUGUAUUUGAAAAGGAGAUUUACAUCACUGUUUGCGUAAUAGGGGCUGGGGAGUCCAACAAUGGAUGUUUGCAUAGAGGAGAGCCCAAGAAGAUUGCAGCUACUCAGUCUAUGAAGCUGUGUACCUCCAUAAUCCCAAUGUAAUGCUGAAACCUAGAAAGAUUCUUGGAGAGCUUCUGGAAUUCAGUCUACAUUAGAAGAUGAAAGGAAUUGAAGUCUGCCAUCUGUGAAGUGUAACAGCAGUGUAGAUUCACUCAUCAGCAAGACACAAACAACAAACACUGCCUAACCUUGGCCUCUUCAUGUCUGGGCUGGCUGGUUGAUGGUGUUGCCUACUCUGAGAGAAAGUCUUACACUGUCAAUUAAUACUUUCUGGAAAUACUCUUUACAGACUUGCCCAGAGUCACGUCUCUUAACUGAGCUCUCAUCCAGUCAAACCGACAACCAAGACUAACCAUUAAACUUGGAUUAGGAAGUUUGCUUCUCCUUCUGUAAAAAGAUGGCAAAUGAAUAAUCUGUGCUAUUCAUUUUAGUAUUGAUCAACUGAAAAAUCUAAAAUCUAGUGAUAUAUUUGUAAUGUCUGUCAUGGCUGAGUAGUAGGUGGUUAAGAAGAGCAUUCCAUGCGUUUCUGUCUCCCUUCUGGAAUGUAAGCUCUGAAGCUAAACUUGAACAAUAAUCCAAAGCAUUUUUGCUUCUUAUUCUUCAUAAGGUCUAUUCUAAUCCAAUGGUUGCUGGGUUUUAAACACCCAAACCCCACAGAGACCUUGAGUUUCAAAAUGGCAGACACUAUAACCCGCAAGAAAAACAUUAAUAAUCUUACCCUAUAUAUAAAGGAUUGACAUCUCAGAUUCGGGGACAAAUUGCCCAGAAUCCUGCAGUAAGAUGAUAGAAGAUAACAGGUACACUGUCAGGAAGGCCUGGACAGAAGUCCUCAUGUUACUGUCUGUGAGAAGUGGGAAUGUACUAGGGUGUGGUCUAUACUUGUCCCAGAAGGGGUUUUUCCAGCUUUGUUUCUGUGAUUCAGAACACCCCCACCCCAAAGAAUCCCUCAGACAGCAUGAAGAGUCUUUUUAGGCUUCAACUCUAGCCUAUGCAAUGACCUUCAGUAGGUCACUUUUUAGGAUCUUUACCCAUGCUGUGUGCCCAGCUCAAGAGACGCAUCCCCCGGAGUACAGGAGCUGAUCAGCAGACCCAGGUGUCCUUUCUCAGGACAUGCUAAGAGAACUCCAGAGAUCUGAGGUCCAGAGGGGCUUUCCCUUUAAAAGGCAUCAACAAGGAAGUGUGUGUGUGUGUGUGUGUGUGUGUGUGUGUGUGUGUGUUGUAUCUAGGGGAGAAAUAUUAUAAUAAUGGGAAGAACAAGGCAUUUUACUGACUUGCAGAUGAAAGCUGCCUUUAGUUGGAUUUCUCAGCCUUCUACACAUCAAUUCAGCUGUGCCUGGAAAAAUACUUAACUUGCCACAGGAUGCCAAGUCAUGAGACAGGGAGAGAGAGCACAGGAGAGAAAGAAACAGAGACAGGGACACAGAGACACAGAGAGUUGGAGACAGAGAGGCUAUUCUGGGUAAAACCCCGGCCCUUUCCCCAGAGCAAAGGGAUUAUAGGAAGGAAGGCGUCCUCUUCUUGGUGGCAGUCUCUUUAUUUGAUCUUCAUGUGAUGCUGGAAGAAAGUCAGAAUGAAGGGCUUUUGCAUGUUAUCCCAUGAGAGAUGGAGAGAGAAAACAAAAAGGAGGAAAGAUGGAAAAAGGCAGGACAGGGAAGAAAAGGGCAGAGAGGAAAUGAAAAGGAGAAAUGGGGAACACUGUGGAAGUGAGGAGGUAGCAAGUGAGAAGGAAUGAGGGAAGAGGAGAAUGAAGAGAGGGGAGCAGAUUGAGAGAGAGAGAGAGAGAGAGAGAGAGAGAGAGAGAGAGAGAGAGAGAGAGAGGGGAGCCAGGGAACAGACUGGUGGUCACAAAGACAGAAGGACAGGGAGUGUGCAGAGCCUCCGUCUCUCCCAUCUCCAAUCUGCCUAUAUGGCAGCAUGGCCCCUGCAUCCAUGGUGCCAUGUGUGCUUGGUUCUUAUGUGAAGCCAGAGGACAGUGCCGAGCCGGCUCUGAAUCCACAGCCAGAGCCUGAGCUUGCAGGAAGGAGUCUUCAGCUAGAUGCUGUAGAGAGGUGAGCCCGACCUCAGAGCAGCAAGCACCAACCCUCUGUGCCCAGGACCCCAGGAGAGGGCUUCUAACUGAUGUGGCUAGUCUAAGGAUCCAGGCAGAGCUGGAUUUGAGUCUUGAUCUAUUUUUACCAGUAGCUCUAGGCAUGUGGCUUUGAGUCUCAGUUUCCCCAUCUGUGACAUGACCCUAAUAUGAAAACAGGUCUGGUGGGUGGAGAAGACUGUGAAGAAACCAAAUAGCCAGGGCUAAUUCCAAGGUCAGAAAGCUGCAAACCAAUGCCAGGCAGCUUGAUUCAUGAGAGAAGACCUUUGUUUCUUCUUCUUCCAGCUUUGGCAUUUUAAAAAUUUAUCAGUGAUGCUGGCACCAGGAGUUUUCUUAUAGGAAGAAAUUUCUAUUCUCGGUUUCUCAUAAAAGAUUCUGGCAGGGCACUGGGGAGGCUUCCCUUGAUACGCUUCCUUUCAUGACCUGGAAGUUAUUUGACUUUUUCUUCAAGCACCUGUGUCUGCUUGCAUUUCUGUUUGAUUGACAUGAUCGUUCAUAGAGAAAGGUAAACACAAAUAGCCAAGGGACAAGCUGCCAUGUCUUUCUCAGAACAAAGCCAAGUGUCCGUCACAUUGACUCCAUCACCCCUGCUGACAUAGAACCCAUGGACUGAUGGGGUUGCAAGCAUGUUUCCCAGUGAGCUCAAGGAUCCAAGCAAGAGGCAGCAUCUCUUGAAAGAGUAUGUUUCUGUAUAAGUGUUUAAACAAUCGGCUUUCGUUCCAGGCAUUGCUCGGAGCUUUGCAUGUUUUCCAAGUAUUUAGGCAACAAGUAGGUAAAAUGACAGUAUAUUCAGAUGGUAGAAGACUUGGGCACAGGCAGUUCCCCCUCCAUAUUCACAUGGGAUUGGUUCCAGUACCCCUAGGCCUGCUGUAGACACCGAAAUCUGAGGUCCCUUGUGUAGCCUUUGCAUGGCACCUACACAGCCUCUUGAACCCACUUGGGCUGCUUACACUUCCUAAGACAAUGCACAUGCUGUGUUGAUGGUUGCUAGGGGACACUAUUCAGGGUCAAGAGGAGAAAGGGUUCAGAGCAGAUGCAGAUUUUCUCUGAAUAGUUUUGAUCAUAUGCAAGUUGAAUUCGUGGGUGUUGGAUCCAUCAUCUUUCUGGAGGACCAGUUGUGUGCCAGUAGGAUGCCACAGGGCAAAUAGGCAGAAAGCACCUGGGUUGAUGGAGGCAGGGGCUCCACUGCUUGAGUGCCUGCUGUGUUUUGAGUCCAGGGCUGUGCCCCUCAUCUAGACAUAUCUGUUCACUCAGAGCAUCUAUGGCCCAGCAUGGGAAGUAGGCAAGCAGACAAAAUCAAGUUUUCCAAGACGACAGUGCAUCGUUCUGGGGACUCCAAGAGAAACAGCUUGGAGGAGUAUAGUAUGAUUCUGCUCCCUGGGAAGGUUAAGCCCUGGAGAACAGUGGUACAAUUGAGCAUUCUAGGCAGGAGGUAGGAGCCAUAGAGGUGUAGCUAGGGGGUCCCAGGAAGACUGUAGGGUUCUGGGCCACUGCAUGGGAGAGUUGAGGGAGAGAUGGAGCAGGAAGGAGCCCUGGGAUCAUACUGGGCAUGUGCUCUGGCUGCUGAGCGGAAGAAGUGGGUGACAGUGGCAGGGAGCAGGAGCCCUGGGCAGCUGUGCCCUAGAACAAGCCUGAUGACACUCAGGAACAGGAAAGAUGACUUUGGAGGCAUGUAGAAGUGGCUUGAAGUGUCUGAGUCUGAAGGUGGAAGGUCAGAGAGAGAGAGGAAAUGGAGGCAAUGGUGGUGUCUAGGAGCAGAGACUGGAUUUCGCGGAAGCCUUGCUGGAGAAAAGGCUGAGGAGACUCAGGAACAGCUGCAGCCUCCCGAAGAAGACUAAUUUGCAUAAACACUGGAUCUCUGUGAAGUUCUACCCCAACCCAUGGAUGGCUAAUUGGGUUUGUACAUCCAACGGCAAACAUUUAUGGAUGCUGGCCCCACUGGGACUCCCAGCUAGGGGCUGAGAGAAUGAGAAGAGUAGAUUCCUGCCCAGGAAGUGGAGAGUCACCUAGAAACCUUGCUUUAUAAAGGAUUUUUGUGACCUAGCAUCCUAUGAAGCAGAUGGUUGCCCUCCCCCUCAACCCACACUCCAGUUCCCAUUUUCCCUGGCUCAGAUAAUACACAUGGCUGCCACUGAACUCAGGCAAGAAGAGCCAGGCCUGAUUGACAGUUUCCUGUGUGCCAGGCAUAGUAUCAAGGGCUUGUCACCAACUAUCUUACCCCAGAAUAGAGUUCAAGGCUUGGCAAGCUUCCUGUAAAAGGCCAGGCAGUCAAACGUUUAGGCUUGAAGGCCAAAUGGUCUCUGGAGCGGCUAUUUCAAUCUACCAUUGUAACAUGAAAGCAGUCAUAGACUAAACAUAAAUGAAUGGACAAGGCUGCAUUCCAAUAAAGCUUUAUUUAUACAAAUAGGCUGUGGGCCAGGGUUGGCCCCAAACCAUAUUUUGUUAAUAUAAGAUGGAGUUCCCUACUGUAGAUGAGGAGACUGAAUGUUUCAGGCGGGGCCUGGGGAAUGGAGACCACUCAAACAGGGAGCUGGAGAGGCUUACUUCAAGUAAGAAUAGCAGAGGAGAGGAAGCAGCAGGGGUGGUGGGGGGAGUUGUCUCCUCCAGCCACAUGGGGCACUGCUUGCAAACUCUGGGGUGCAGGGGUGGCUGGACAAAUGCUGCCCCCCUUGGAAUAGUGGAAUAGUGCCUCACUGAUGAAGCUGAGGUGGCACCCUGACCUGACUGUCCCCUCCUGUGUCCACCCUUCAGCUGUUGUCCUUCCACCUGUCCCAUUGAAGACCAGGGAUCCAUUGAGGCAGGCAGAGAGUGGCAUGCUGGCAAAUGGAGGUCAUGCAGACCCCAGGACAACACAACCAAGGCUUGGGGAGGCUGAACAGCUGCUCACUCACAAAGCUCCUGAGCAGCAGCAACAGAAUUUCAAGUCACCCUUGUUCCAUCUAUCCUCCAGCCGCCAUGUUGUUGUUGUCUUAUGUAGCACUGGGCAUGAAACCCAGGACCUCAUACAUGUGUUCAGCAAGUGCUUGGCCUCACUAAAUUCUCUUCUGGGUAGAGUUUAACAUACGAGAGGUGACAGGCUACAGGAGAGCCAGGACGAUUUGCUGCAGGAGGAAGCUGCCCUCUGAGGAAAAGCAGCUCCAAGUGUGGCUCCUUGAUGUGACUUUAGGACUAGACGAGCCUGUGUUGAAUCCCAGCUCAGCUAAUGACUUGUGUCUUGGGGGCAACUCCUUUUACCUCUUGGAACCCCACUGUUCCUCUCUGGAAAAGUCAAUUAUCUUUCUUCAUACAGAAUGGUUCUCGAGGGGCACUCAGCAGACCUCUAACCCACUGGGAUGUUAGUUUACCAAGAAAAUUCCCAAGACCCAUCUCAGAUUGUAUGAACCCCAGAGACCAUGGCUGUGAUCAGAAAACCCAUGCCCUGUUUGGGUCCUCGAGGCAAUCUGGACUUUUCUAUCUGUGAGAACCCAGUUAUAUCAGUUUCUCCCCCCAUUGUUGUGAUAAAGCACUCCACCUGAAGCACUUGAAGGAAAGAAGACUUCAUGUGGCUCACAGUUCAAGGGCACAGAGCAUCAUGGUGGGGGCGUCAAGGCAGCAAGAGCUUGAGUUGCUGGUCGCAUCACAGUCACAGUCAAGAACAGAGAGGGAUGAGAGCUGUCACUCAUGCCUUUUCUCUGCCUGUGUAGGCCAGGAUCCCACCCUGUGUAGGCAGGAAAUCUGCCACCCAGGGUGGGUGGGUCUUUCCACCUCAAUGCCAUUAAGACAAUUUCCCCCAUGGGGAUGGAGAGGUGACUGCAUGGCUAAGAUCGCUUGCUGAUCUUGCAGAGGAUCUGGGUUUGGUUCCCAGCACCUACACACUGGGCAGCUCACAACCUCUUGUAAUUGCAGAUCCAGGGGGAUGUGGCACCCCUGCUGGUCUAUGUGGAUACUGCAUGUAUAUGGUGUACAUACAGACAAGCAGGUACACACAUGUACACAUAAAUAAAAGUAAGUAAAAUUAAAACAAAGAAAGGCAAACAACCCCCCACAGGCAUGUCCAGACACACAUCUUAUAGGUGACUCCAGAUUCUGCCAAGUUGGCAAUUAACACUAGCCAUAACAUCAGUCUUGUGGCUUUUUGUCAAAGUUAAAUAAACUAUAUAGUUGCAGAUUUGGCGUCAGCUAACCCAUCAUUUGAAAUAGCAGAUCCUGUACCAUGUUACUGACCAGAAUGAGACCUCAGUCAUUUGACCACCAUGGGGAUAAUAUCACCUUCAUUCCCCAUUUAACAGCUGGGAAAACAGAGAGCAGAGGACCCAGAUACCUGCCUGAGACUUGUAGAUAUCCACUGGCCCAGACACAAGCAUGCUGGCUUGUGUCCUCUCUUUUCCCGUAUGGUGUGAUAUGGUGGGAAGGCCAAUGGAUGGGGGCGGGUAUGUAGCAACUGGGAAAGUUCAGAGGCCCCAGGGAAAGCCCAAGGGCUGAAGGUGAGAUGUUCAAUCUCCAUAGGAGCUGCAGAAUGGGACCACCCAGUAGGACCUGGCAAAUCGUCUAAGCCUCUCCCCUGCCUUGGGACGGGCACAGCCUCCACAAAGCUCUGCAACCCAGCAGGGUGUGCGAAACCAGCCAGGGUGUAUGAUUCACACUAGGGGACUGGCAGCUUGCACACCGAGGCUUCCUCUCCUCCUUCUUUUAAAUCAAGCCAUGAGACUGGUUCAUGGCAAAGGGACCCAAAUACUCUGCAGAGAGAGAGACAUGUGUCCUCAGGAGUGCCAGGCUUCUCCCUGGCAUCUUUUUGUGGAGAUACUGAGACAUGUAUUUUUUUAAACUAAUAAAUCCUAAAUCUUGUUUGAAUCCCAACCCAGAACAGAUGCAAUGCAUAUGGUCAGUAGACCUGGAGUUGCAAAUAAAUACAUUUGGAAACCAAAUAUUUAAAAAGCAA
rnacentral:lncRNA from 1 species